rnacentral:rRNA from 1 species
AUUGAACGCUGGCGGCAUGCUUUACACAUGCAAGUCGAACGGCAGCGCGGGCUUCGGCCUGGCGGCGAGUGGCGAACGGGUGAGUAAUACAUCGGAACGUGCCCAGUAGUGGGGGAUAGCUCGGCGAAAGCCGGAUUAAUACCGCAUACGACCUGAGGGUGAAAGCGGGGGAUCUUCGGACCUCGCGCUAUUGGAGCGUCCGAUGGCAGCUUAGCUAGUUGGUGGGGUAAAGGCCUACCAAGGCGACGAUCUGUAGCUGGUCUGAGAGGACGACCAGCCACACUGGGACUGAGACACGGACCAGACUCCUACGGGAGGCAGCAGUGGGGAAUUUUCGACAAUGGGCGAAAGCCUGAUCCAGCAAUGCCGCGUGUGUGAUGAAGGCCUUCGGGUUGUAAAGCACUUUUGGCGGGAACGAAAAGGACUGUGCCAAUACCACGGUUCGAUGACGGUACCCGCAGAAUAAGCACCGGCUAACUACGUG